AGAGUUUGAUCAUGGCUCAGAUUGAACGCUGGCGGCAGGCCUAACACAUGCAAGUCGAACGGUAACAUUUCUAGCUUGCUAGAAGAUGACGAGUGGCGGACGGGUGAGUAAUGCUUGGGAACUUGCCUUUGCGAGGGGGAUAACAGUUGGAAACGACUGCUAAUACCGCAUAAUGUCUUCGGACCAAACGGGGCUUCGGCUCCGGCGCAAAGAGAGGCCCAAGUGAGAUUAGCUAGUUGGUAAGGUAACGGCUUACCAAGGCGACGAUCUCUAGCUGUUCUGAGAGGAAGAUCAGCCACACUGGGACUGAGACACGGCCCAGACUCCUACGGGAGGCAGCAGUGGGGAAUAUUGCACAAUGGGGGAAACCCUGAUGCAGCCAUGCCGCGUGUGUGAAGAAGGCCUUCGGGUUGUAAAGCACUUUCAGUUGUGAGGAAAAGUUAGUAGUUAAUACCUGCUAGCCGUGACGUUAACAACAGAAGAAGCACCGGCUAACUCCGUGCCAGCAGCCGCGGUAAUACGGAGGGUGCGCGCGUUAAUCGGAAUUACUGGGCGUAAAGCGCACGCAGGCGGUUUGUUAAGCUAGAUGCGAAAGCCCCGGGCUCAACCUGGGAUGGUCAUUUAGAACUGGCAGACUAGAGUCUUGGAGA
rnacentral:rRNA from 1 species